UAACCAGGUUUUCCGAAGGAAAAAACUGGUUAUUAGAUUGGCGAAUGCGGGCGGGCUGGCUGGCUGGCGGGCUGGCGGAAUAAGCUUGUCCGGGCCAUAACUAUGUCGUUCAUUGUCAGAUUUUAAAAUCAUUUGGCACAUUUGUUCACCAUCAUUGGACGGUGUGUCGCGCGAAAUAAUUACGUCGAUAUCUCCAAGGUCAAGGUCACACUUUGAGUUCAAAGGUCAAAAAUGGCCAUAAAUGAGCUUGUCCGAGCCAUAACUAUGUCGUUCAUCGUCAGAUUUUAAAAUCAUUUGGCACAUUUGUUCACCAUCAUUGGACGGUGUGUCGCGCGAAAUAAUUACGUCGAUAUCUCCAAGGUCAAGGUCACACUUUGAGUUCAAAGGUCAAAAAUGGCCAUAAAUGAGCUUGUCCUGGCCAUAACUAUGUCAUUCAUUGUGAGAUUUUAAAAUCAUUUGGCACAUUUGUUCACCAUCAUGGGACGGUGUGUCGCACGAAAGAAUCACGUCAAUAUCUCCAAUGUCAAGAUCGCCACGACUAAAAAUAGAUUUUUUUUAAAAACAAACUUACAAAGGGGGUUAAUUUUGUUUGUUCAUUUCAAAAGUUCAGUUUGAGUUUUCUCCCUUUAUCAGAUUUUUUUUUCACAAUGAAAACCUGGUUUUGUGACAAUUAUGUCCCUUGUUCUCCAUAUGUAUAUAGUGAAAACAUGUGAACACAGUAGAAGUCACAUUUUUGGCCCAAUUUUCAUGAAAUUUGCUCAGAACAUUUGUUUCCUUGAUACGAGAGUUGAGUUCAAAAAUGGUUCCAGUCAGUUGAAUAACAUGGCUGCUGGGAGGGGGGCAGUUUUCUCAUUAUGCCCCCCCCCCCCCCCUUUCGAAGAAGAGGGGGUAUAUUGUUUUGCUCAUGUGGGUCCGUUCGUCCACCAGAUGGUUUCCGGAUGAUAAAUCAAGAGCGCUUAUGCCAAGGCUCAUGAAACUUCAUAGGUACAUUGAUCAUGACUCGCAGAUGACCCCUAUUGAUUUUCAGGUCACUAGGUCAAAGGUCAAGGUCACGAUGACCAGAAAUAGUAAAAUGGUUUCUGGAUGAUAACUCAAGAACGCUUAUGCCUAGGAUCAUGAAACUUCAUAGAUACAUUGAUCAUGACUCGCAGAUGACACCUAUUGAUUUUCUGGUCACUAGGUCAAAGGUCAAGGUCACGGUGACCCAAAGCAGUAAAAUGGUUUCCAGAUGAUAACUCAAGAACGCUUAUGCCUAGGAUCAUGAAACUUCAUAGAAACAUUUAUCAUGACUCGCAGAUAACCCCUAUUGAUUUUCAGGUCACUGGGUCAAAGGUCAAGGUCACGAUGACCCGAAAUAGUAAAAUGGUUUCCGGAUGAUAACUCAAGAAUGCUUAGGCCUAGGAUCAUGAAACUUCAUAGGUACAUUGAUCAUGACUCGCAGAUGACCUCUAUUGAUUUUCAGGUCACUAGGUCAAAGGUUAAGGUCACGGUGACCCGAAAUAGUAAAAUGGUUUCCAGAUGAUAACUCAAGAACGCUUAUGCCUAGGAUCAUGAAACUUCAUAGGUACAAUGAUCAUGACUUGCAGAUGACCCCUAUUGAUUUUCAGGUCACUAGGUCAAAGGUCAAGGUCACAGUGACCUGAAAUAGUAAAAUGGUUUCUGGAUGAUAACUCAAGAACGCUUAUGCCUAGGUUCAUGAAACUUCAAAGGUAUAUUGAUCAUGACUCGCAGAUGUCCCCUAUUGAUUAUCAGGUCACUAGGUCAAGGUCACAGUGCCAAAAAACGUAUUCACACAAUGGCUGUCAAGGUCACGGUGACUCAACUUAGAAAAAUGGUUUCCGGAUGAUAACUCAAGAAUGCUUACGCCUAGGAUCAUGAAACUUCAUAGGUACAUUGAUCAUGACUCGCAGAUGAAAUAAUGAUGAAACUUGACCAGGAUGUUUGUCUGGACAAUAUCUAGGUCAAGUUUGACAUAAGUUAAAGAUUGAAUGAACUGACUCCUCUCAGGUGAGCGAACUAGAGCCAUCUUGGCCCUCUUGUUAUGUUUGCGUUCCGUCCACCAUCUUCAUAGGUAUGUACAUUGAUCAUGACUGGCAGAUGACCCCUAUUGAUUUUCAGGUCACUAGGUCAAAGGUCAAGGUCACAGUGACUUGAAAUAGGAAAAUGGUUUCCGGAAGAUAACUCAAGAAUGCUUACGCCUAGGAUCAUGAAACUUUAUAGGUACAUUGAUCAUGACUGGUAGAUGACCCCUAUUGAUUUUCAG